AUUACAGCCCUGCCGUUAUUUGAAGGCAGCCAAUCCAAUAGUUUCUGAGAUCGGUAUUCAAAAAGUUUAGAAAAAGUAGUACUUUUUUGGGGGGGGGGCACCUGCAUUCAAAUUGUUUUUUUUGUCACCUUUAAAGUAACUAUUUGCUGCACCGAGAAGAAGAAAAAGAAGUUGACUUUCCAGACAGUUAAAAGAAUAGUUCUCCCGGUGUCUGUGGUAGGGCGUGUUCUCUGAAGAACAGAGGACAUCUGGUGAUGUGCUGUUGGUGAGGAGGCGCAAAACACAAAAUGGCGAAUGGAAGAGGACGAAAACCACCUAAAAAGAAUCUCAUCAUCAUCAGAGGUUUGCCCGGAGUUGGAAAGAAGAGCUAUGCAAGAAAGCUCCUUGAUGAAUAUGGAAGACCAGACGUAGCUGGAGGGAUAUACUCCGCUUCCUACUACCAUGCUAUGAACAACUGGAACAAGUUCUACUUCUCACGUAACCAUAAGUGGAAUAUACGGGAUGUUUUUAGAGCCAUGAAGGAAGGUGUGGAUCCGAUCAUCGUUUACAACAUCCACUGUUUACUUUCUGACAUGUGGCCCUAUGUCAACAUGGGGAUGAGUCGGGGUGACUACCACAUCACUAUAAUGGAGCUGCCUGAAGGUUAUCCUAAAAACGCUUUCUCCAUCAACCAGCUGUACAGAAUCUGUAAUUGUAAGAUCCCCAAGCAUAAGUUCAGGCGCUGGGAGUAUUGCUGGCAAGAAGCUGACAACAUCUGGGAUGUACUUUACGACGGCUCCUCCAUAGACCGCUGGCAGUAUGAAAGAGAGGAAUGGAUCCUCUAGUGAAGACACACCAGUACCUCCAUUUUGUGUGAACAACUGUUUUUACAUAUUUUUUUUAUAGCUUUUUUCAAAACUACACUUUUAAAGAGUAUUGGUUACCUAGCAACAACAACUCAUACCUUACUGUUGUACUUGUCUUUCUUGCACUGACGCCUGUUUUGGUUGUGUCUGAGGCAUUUUUGGUACAUCAUAUCGUUGAGCAGCUGCUCUUGAUCGUUGUCUUGACACCACUCGCGUUAGAAGUUCAGAACGAGAAACUGUAAGCUAUAUAUAUAUAUAUAGCUUACAGUUUCUCGUUCUGAACUUCUAACGCGAAAUAAUGGUCCUCGGAUUGAAAAAAAUAUCAGGAUUAGGGUUUUGGAUUUAUAUCAUCCUAAUCGAGGUGUAGAUUACAUCUCACAUUUCCAGUGUUCAAACAUGUUAACAAGUCUGCAUGGGAUUUUCGUCUCAAUGUGACUCUGUGCAGCCAAUGACAAUGUCCACUUAAGGUAUAAUCUCGGGAGCCACUUGCGGAUUUGACAGCUCUAACGCAGUUUCACCUUAAAUUAUUAUUUUUUUUAUUCUGAUUGAAUAGAGUCCUAAAUCGUUCUGGAUAAGUGCAUCUGCUAAAUGUCAAAUGUAAAUGUUUACAUCGCCUGGUCCCAUAUCUGUUGCGGUCUCGCCAACUGCUAUUGGUCGUUGGUGUGACCGUAGGACCAUAGGAGUUGGCGAGAGCAUAGACCUGCUCUGGGAUCAGGCUACAGUAGCCGACGCAUAAAUUGCAAGGCGUCACACUUCCGAAUGGUUUUUCGUGUUGUAUGGUGCUUGAAACAACAGUUGUGGGUUUGAUUCCAACAUGGGCCACAUAUCGUGUUACUGUAUGCUUGAGAUAUGUUUCUUUAUACAGUAUUACAAAAACAGGACUGUGCUGUAGGCUACUAGAUUCAAGCAGAAGUGAUGGAAGUACAGAACAACGUUUUCCGUAUUACCGUCCAACAGAUCUGCAGACUCCUAGUAGUCUAAAGUUAGUUCCUUCGUUUCUGACCGUUCAUAAAGUUUUGAUUUUUUUUUUUUAAACAAUAACAUUUAAAGCUUUUUGAGUUUUUUUUCUCUACACUUUUCUACAAAUUGGCAUCUAUAAUGUUGUGUUUUUGCCUUCAAUAUGCUUUGUUGCCAGCAAUAAAUAAUUUGAAAUAAUUUGCUUUAAAAUUGUCUCUCAUCAUCAUCAUCAUAUCAUCGCUAGUGCAACAGGAGAGUUUCCUGGUUUCCUGGUUUCCUGGUGGGUGAAGUUGUUAGUAGCUAUUGGGUGAACUCUACUUGACUCUACGGUCAUCGGAGCUCUCGGAUCAAAGGUACAAUGAGUUAUAACUGUUAUUACAAAGUUGUUGUAAUGGUGAGCGACCUGUAAAUGGUGAGGAGAAAGCGGAUUGGGCACCUGAUCAUUUUCAGAGGGCUGCCUGGAUCAAGGAAGUCAGAUCGGGCAAGGUCAACUUUUUCAGAUCGCAGGACGAGGAUAAAGUCAUUUUUCUUGAUGAUAAUUAAAAUGUAAAAAAAUUGGUACCAUUGUCAAAAGAAAAAGGUUUAAAUAUGCAAGGGGAAUUCAGACCAAAGCAUUAAAUCUUGGUUUCAUCAGACCAGAGAAUCUUGUUUCUCAUGGUCUGAGAGUCCUUUAGGUGCUUUUUGGCAAACUCCAAGCGGGCUGUCAUGUGCCUUUUACUGUGGAGUGGCUUUUAUCUGGCCACUCUACCAUAAAGACCUGAUUGGUGGAGUGCUGCAGAGAUGGUUGUCCUUCUGGAAGGUUCUCCCAUCUCAACAGAAGAACUGUAGAGAUCUGUCAGAGUGACCAAACUGAGGAUGGGUCAACAACGUUGUAGUUACUCCACAAUACGUAACGGACCGCCAAGUCUAGGUCCAAGAGGCUUCUAAACAGCUUCUAUCCCCCAAGCCAUAAGCAGUGGUGGUUCUAGACCAUUUCAACUGGUGGGGGGCCAAGCUGGGGCCAGUUGUACUGUUAGAGGGGCCAGUUACAUUAGACGUUAUUGUUGUCAUAUCGUUUUCUUCACUGCAUUGCAGGUAAAAGACCAUGUUCAUAAUCAUUAGUGUUCCGCGUUGUAAAAAAAAAGAAUGAUAGCAAAAAUUUGUUAUGUAAAAAUGAUUUCAUACUCCACAUUUAGGGGGGCCACAAGGGGGUCCAAAAUUGUUGUCACAGGGGCACUGCCCCCCCACCAGAACCGCCCCUGGCCAUAAGACUCCUGAACAGCUAAUCAAAUGGCUACCCAGACUAUUUUCAAUGCCCCCCCCCUCUUCUACGCUGCUGCUACUCUCUGUUAUUAUCUAUGCAUAGUCACUUUAAUAACUCUACCUACAUGUACAUAUUACCUCAAUUUCCUCGACACCAGUGCCCCCGCACAUUGACUCUGUACCGGUACCCCCUGUAUAAAGCCUCCACAUUGACUCUGUACCGGUACCCCCAGUAUAAAGCCUCCACAUUGACUCUGUACCGUAACACCCUGUAUAUAGCCUCCACAUUGACUCUGUACCGGUACCCCCUGUAUAAAGCCUCCACAUUGACUCUGUACCGUAACACCCUGUAUAUAGCCUCCACAUUGACUCUGUACCGGUAGCCCCUGUAUAAAGCCUCCACAUUGACUCUGUACCGUAACACCCUGUAUAUAGCCUCCACAUUGACUCUGUACCGGUACCCCCUGUAUAAAGCCUCCACAUUGACUCUGUACCGUAACACCCUGUAUAUAGCCUCCACAUUGACUCUGUACCGGUAGCCCCUGUAUAAAGCCUCCACAUUGACUCUGUACCUUAACACCCUGUAUAUAGUCUCCACAUUGACUCUGUACCGGUACCCCCUGUAUAAAGCCUCCACAUUGACUCUGUACCGGUACCCCCUGUAUAUAGCCUCCACAUUGACUCUGUACCGGUACCCCCUGUAUAAAGGGGGGUAAGUUUUGAGUGGCCGAUGGGAAGAUCACCUACCCCCCCGGGGGUCAAGGAGAUCUCCAGCAAAAUCUCCAAGGAGGAGAUGGUCCGUCGACUCAAGGUCAGUAACAAAUACAACAUUUUCUUGCCCUUUGAGCUGUAGGCCUGUAGCUGCAACUAGCCUUUCUGUAUCAGAAUACUUAUCAAGCUAUUUGAAUCCCACCUUGUAACACAACAAAAUGGGGUGUGGAUGCUUUGUGAAGGCACUGUAUGUGGCCUUACGUCCGUAUGGAGCCUGUGUGUACUGCGUUUCUGACGUGACUGCGCAGCGUUUCUGACGCUGUGACUGCGCUGCGUUUCUGACGUGACUGCGCUGCGUUUCUGACGUGACUGCGCUGCGUUUCUGACGUGACUGCGCUGCGUUUCUGACGCUGUGACUGCGCUGCGUUUCUGACGCUGUGAUUGCGCUGCGUUUCUGACGCUGUGAUUGCGCUGCGUUUCUGACGCUGUGACUGCGCUGCGUUUCUGACGCUGUGACUGUACUGCGUUUCUGACGCUGUGACUGUACUGCGUUUCUGACGCUGUGACUACUGCGUUUCUGACGCUGUGACUGUGCUGCGUUUCUGACGUUGUGACUGCGCUGCGUUUCUGACGUUGUGACUGCGCUGCGUUUCUGACGCUGUGACUGUACUGCGUUUCAUAACGCUAUGUUUCUUUCUCUCCUUAGGUUUUGUCGCCGUGGCUACCGGAUCGAGAGGAUGAAGGAAGGUUAUGAGCCUGUGAUGAAGAUGUCCUCUAUGACACCAAGUUCAGACAGAAGUGGAUGUUUAACGCAGAGAGACUGGUGAUCUCUCUCUUCCUGCUUCGUAAAGCCGCUUUCUAUCCAUUUGGAUAUUCCAGAAGUUUCUUUCCUUUUAUUGAAGCUGUUUUAAGAGUAUUGAUUAAGAGUAUCUAAAGUUUCAACAAGCCGUUUCAGACUUGUUUUUUCUUCAUCUCUGUGUUUAGCUACUCCAUUGUUGUUUGCCCACUUUUCCCUUAGAAAUUUAUGUUACGUUUCAAAAAGAAAGAAAACACUUAGGUUCUUGACAAAACAAAAUCAGACAAUUUCUCUCAUUUGUGCUGUAGGGUACGGUUAAAUGACCUAUUAGCCUUUUGGGUAAAUUUCCUAGGGUUAAGGCCGAGAUUCAAUCAGACGAAGUGUUAACCGGCGAUAGUCAACACAUUUGAGUCAUUUAGCAGACGCUCUUAUACAGAGAGACUUACAGGGGCAAUUAGGCUUAAGUGCCUUAGUUAAGGGCACAUUAGUAGAUUUUGAAACGUAGUCGGCUCGGAGAUUCAAACCAACAACCUUUUGUUGUUUUCCCCCGACGCUCUUAACCACUAGGCUACCUGCCUCCUCACACCCUAGGCUACCUGCCUUCUCACACCCUAGGCUACCUGCCUCCUCACACCCUAGGCUACCUGCCUCCUCACACCCUAGGCUACCUGCCUUCUCACACCCUAUGCUACCUGCCCCUACGCUCUUAACCACUAGGCUAUCAGCCUUCUCACACCCUAGGCUACCUGCCUCCUCACACCCUAGGCUACCUGCCUCCUCAC
rnacentral:lncRNA from 1 species